rnacentral:tRNA from 1 species
GUGUGGGUGGCUCAGUCGGUUGAGCAUCUGACUUUAGCUCAGAUCAUGAUCCCAGGGGUCCUGGGAUCAAGCCCCGCAUC